rnacentral:rRNA from 1 species
UACGUAGGGUGCAAGCGUUGUCCGGAAUUAUUGGGCGUAAAGAGCUCGUAGGCGGUCUGUUGCGUCGGCUGUGAAAACCCGGGGCUCAACUCCGGGCCUGCAGCCGAUACGGGCAGACUAGAGUUCGGCAGGGGAGACUGGAAUUCCUGGUGUAGCGGUGAAAUGCGCAGAUAUCGGGAGGAACACCGGUGGCGAAGGCGGUUCUCUGGGCCUUACCUGACGCUGAGGAGCGAAAGCGUGGGGAGCGAACAGG